rnacentral:lncRNA from 1 species
GGAAAGAAAACAAAUCGGGCUUCAACUAGCCCAUCAUGACCAAAAUAAACAAAAUUUUGAAAAUAAAGCUCAUCCUAUACCAGUCAAAUCAAAAAAGCUGGACACCAUUAAUUAUCGUCUUUUCAAAUCCACCGUCUAGUCAUAAAGAUAGCAGGUUACCAAUUUAUUGCUUUGUCUCUGCUAUCCUUUAAUGAAAAACUUUCCCCUUUCUUCAAUCUGGAGGAUAUGGCCAAAGAUUUCCUACCGUUCUCCGAACUGCUUCUGGGACUUCCUUCUCCAGGUAAAAACUUUAUCCUCUUCUAAGAGCCUCCUUUGCUAUAGUAUGGGCAUAAAUAUUCUGUUCUUUGGGAAUGAAAGUAAACUCGAUUUCCUGGAACCUGUUUUUUAGACUUUGGAUAUCUGUGAUAAUUGCUCCAAUGACUGAUUUAUCCGAGAAGAAGCUUUGGCAUUUCUUGAUAACAGUUUUGGAGUCUCCUAAAACUGUUAAUUUAUUGACUCCCAGUCUAAUCCCUAAUUUUAUUGCGUGUAAUCCUGCAUAUGCCUCUGCUGUGAAUGGAUCUGCGAUGUUGGAGUGAAUGACUGCCUGUGAUGCAAGAAUCUCUUUGUUCUCGUUUCGUACUAUUAUACCGGAAGUCGAUCUAAACCCCAGGUGUUCGUAAGCUGCAUCGAAAUGAAUGGAGGUCCAUCCCCUUUUAUAUAUCUGUUGGAGAUUGCCAGAUGAAUGGAGAGUAAGAUUUCUUCCUUUUGUUACUGCAAGUUCUGUAAUAUAGACACUGAUUUUCCUUGCUAUUUCUGAUCCUGACAUGAGUCUUUUUCCAUAAAUGAGAUGAUUUCUGCUAAACCAAAUGAACCAAAGGCUACAGCAAAAAAGUUGAAGCUGCUCUUCAUUACCUCGAUCAAAAACCCAGGUAAGCCAUCCCCACAUGUUAUGUAUACUCUGAUUCAGCACCCACGAUAAAUCUAACUGAUUCCAAACUUCCAUUGAUCUAGGGCACUCAAUAAAAAUAUGCCAGCUAUUUUCUUCAGCAGAACCGCACCUGGGGCAAAGAGUGUUUAUCACUACCCUCUUUAUUUUGAGAUUGACAAAGGAAGGGAUAAAAUCCCAAGAAAUCCUCCAAAUUGUCAUCUGAAUUUUUGUAGGGAUAUGUAACUUCCAUAAUUUGUUGUAAAAAGUUUUUGUCUCGGUCUGUAAUAAUAAAUCAUUAGGAUCCAGAUUAGAACCAUGUAAUAGUUUAUAGGCACUCCUCACCGAGAACUCCCCUGUCGGUUCUCCUCUCCAAACUUGAAGAUCUUGUUCUGUCUCCGCAAGAGGGAUUUUUAAUAUUUGCUCCGCAACAUUUGGUUGAAAGGUAUUUCUUAUUAGCUCUGUUCUCCAGCUCCUGCUAAUUGGCUCAACUAAAUCCGAGACUAAUUUAACAUUGUCAUUGUCUUCUUGAAUCGUGAUUCUGUCAGCUGCAAUCCCCGGUAUCCAUGAAUCUCCCCGUAUGGAAAUUUGAUCACCUCUCCCCACCCUCCAACAGCGUCCAUUAUUAAGAAGUCCUCUCGCAGCCCAUAUACUUUUCCAGGUAAAAGAAGGUAGAUUCCCCAACUGAGCUUUAUAGAAAUUUGAAUUGGAAAAAUACUUUGCUUUUAAAACAUGAGCCAAUAAAUAAUUCGGAUAAUUAAUAAGACGUCAUCCCUGCUUCGCUAAUAAUGCAACGUUAAAUUUAGCAAAAUCACGAAAACCGAGACCACCAUCUUCUUUUAAUAGAAAUAAAUCCUUCCAAAUCUAUACAGAGCGUCUUAGGGAGUAGGAAACAAGCCAUCGAGUAUGUUGGGAUAGCUUGUAGAACUGCCUUGAUAAACACUUCCUUUCCUCCUUGUGAGAGAUAUCUAAUACUCUAACUGUUGAUUUUUUGCUUGAGUCUAUCUUUCAAGUUUUGAAAAGAUAAUCUCUUUCUUUUCCCCACCAUACUAGGAAGUCCUAGAUAUUGCUCAAAAUCAUUAGCUCUUCUAACUCCAAGGAUCUGUGAAACAACACUCCUUUCACUCUCUUUUGUAUUAGUACUGAAGAAAAAAGUCGAUUUUUCAAAAUUCACACGGGGCCCGGAACUUGUCUCGUAUUCUUGCAGUAUCUGUUUUAAUGAAUGUGCUCCCCUAUCUGUAGCUUCAGCAAAUAAAAUACAAUCAUUUGCAAAUAAUAAAUGGGAGAUAGUCGGCCAUCUUCGACUUACUUUAACACCUUUCAAAACAUUUUCCUCUUGUGCUAACCUCAUUAGACUUGAGAGUCCUCUACAAAUAAGGAAUAAAAAUGGACUUAGAGGAUCCCCUUGCCUAAGACCUCUCGAUGGGAGAAACGUUUGACUGAUAUUUCCAUUGAAACUCACAGAGUAAGAGACUGAAGAGACACAAGUCAGUACUAAAUCAAUCCAUCAUGGGUCAAACCCCAUUUUUUCCAUUACUCCUCUAACAAACUCCCAUUCAACCCUAUCAUAUGCCUUACUCAUGUCCAGUUUAAGAGCCAUGAAUCCUUUUUUCCCUAUCUCUUCAGUUUCAAAGUGUGUAGAAUUUCAUAAGCAAGUAACACAUUAUCAGAAAUCAGCCUUCCUGGAACAAAAGCACUCUGAGCUAAAUCAAUACAUUUAUGAAUUAACCCUCGUAACCUAUUCGCAAUGACUUUAGCAAUCAGUUUGUAAAUCACAUUACAUAAACUAAUAGGUCUAAAAUGGGUAACGCUUGAGGGAUUUUGGAUUUUUGGGAUGAGCACAAUAUUUGUUUUAUUAAUUGAUUGGAACUCUAUACCUUCGUUUAAUCUUUGGAGACAAAAAAUUGGAGAUGUCAUCCCCAACAAUUGACCAACACUUUUGAUAGAAUAAGGCUAGGAAACCAUCCUCUCCCGGUGUUUUUGCAGGCCCCAUUCCUGAAAGAGCUUCCCGAAUUUCAUCUUUUGUGAACCUUGCAUUCAGUUUAAUGUUAUCUUCCUCAGAAAUACACCUAAUACCUGUCAAGAUAUUCUCAAAGUUAUGUUGCCCUCCUGUUGAAAACAAUCGUAAAAAGUACAAUCUGGCAAUUUCCUCCAUAUCCAUCCAUUUUUCAGUUGCUCUGCCAUCUUCACCCUACAACUUGUGGAUUCUGUUUUGCUUCCUUCGUUGCGAUGCUUGUUUAUGAAAGAAACUUGUAUUUCUGUCUCCCAUUUUUAACCAAUUAAUUCUAGCCCUCUGCUCCCAAUAGCUUUCAUCCUUUUCAAUUUCUAAGUUCAGAUGGAUUUUUGUGUCAAUAAUCUCUGCCAAGUUCUCCUCACUUCUAUCUGCAUCAAGCAACGUUUCUAAUUUUGACAAUAAGACCUCCUUUGUCAUCCUUUUAUUCUGUUGGAACUGGACACUCGACCUUUGUAACCCUUGUUUUAAAUUUUCCAGCUUCUGCAUAAGGUCUCCUGUUGAGUUUUCCCAAAUACUUUUAGUCUCAUCCAAGAAAGUAUCUUCCAAAAUCCACCAUGCUUCAAACCUGAACCUCUGAUAUGCUAUCCUUCUAACUCUCUGAUCCGUAUCAAUGAGAAGUGGACAAUGGUCUGAGAAAGAAUGAGGGAGGUGUUGAAUAAGAAAAUUUGGAAAUAAAUCACUCCAUCAUUCUAUUGCCACUCUUCUGUCUAAUCUUUCUUGGAUAUUAGUUUCUGGCAAAUUUCCCUUCUCCCACGUAAACCUCCUACCUGAAUAACCCAAAUCCACUAAACAACAAUCUUCCAAGGCCUUCUAAAAUGCUUCCAUUCUUUUUUCUUCUCUAGGUAGACCACCUUUCUUCUCGAAAUUAUAUAAGAUUUCAUUAAAAUCCCCACAAACCAGCCAUGGGUCAUCUCCUUGGUUUCUUAAUUGUCGCAACAAGUUCCAUGAUUCCUCCCGAUCAUAUGAAUAAGGGGAACCAUAAAAACCUGUAAAUAUCCACUUUUCUCCAUCUCAUUCUUCCUCAAUGAUCACAUCAAUAUGUCUAUUUGAAAAACUCUGUAGUGCAAUACUAGCGUUCCUUCUCUAUGCUAAACAAAGUCCUCCUCUAGAUCCAAUUGAAUCCACAUCAAUUCCAAAGUGAAAUCCACAACUUCUUCGAAUUUUUUUCAUUCUUUUUUGUUUAUUUUUGUCUCCAUUAAGAAGAUCACUAGGGGAUAGUGUUUCUUCAGUGAGUGUCGAAGUCGAUGAACUGUUCGAGGAUUCCCCAAACCUCAGACAUUCCAACUUAGUAUUUUCAUUGCGAUCGGUCGGCUUGCCUCUUGACAGCCGCCGAUAAUAAAUGAUUGAAUCCUUGUACUUUCCUAUCUCUCCCUUCCAUCUCCCCACUAUUCUCAAUAUCCUUUCUCCCUCUCUUUUUUCCCUCUUCUCCAAUAAUCAUCUCAUUCUCCAACUCCUGUUCUAUAGCCAUUUGACUAUAAUCAUUUAAAGGUCUAACCCUUUCUAUUUGUGAGGAGAACCCAUUACCUUUUAGAUUAAAACCUAAAAUAGGAUCAACACUUCCCCUAAAAGUUCCUACGUUUCCCCUUUCAUUAUUUCCUCCACUCAUUCCUCCCCCAGAACCUCCUUCCUCCCGUAACCAUACACUCCUCAUUGCUUGGGCUCUUCUUGAUUGUGCACGCAGAGAUAAAUCCCAUCCCAUCACAUCAACUUCAACCCUUGCCUCCAUUUUUUCCUCACAAAAGGAGUCACUAUGUCCAAGACGGCCACGGUAGAAACAAAAAAGAGCCAAUCUUUCGUACUUAAAUCUAACAUAAGAGCACUUGUUUUUAAACAUAACCUGCUUUUUCCUUUUGAGAGGGUGCCGAACGUCAACUUGAACUGUUAUCCUCAUGAAAUUCAUAUUUUCUUUCCCCAAACUAGAUCCAUCGUAUUCUUGAAAAAUUCUAAUAAAAUUCCCUAACUGCAUCGCUAAUUUAUUAGAAUAAAACCCUAUAGGCACAUCAUGUAUUUGAACCCAAGAAGGUGAUGAGGUUAGAGGAACUUUUAGUGGAUCUUCCCCCUUGUAACUUGUGUAAAAUUAGUAGAUGAUUAAUGAAUGUCCAAGGAGCCCCUUUAAUAACUCUUUCCAUGUCAAUAACAUGGAAAAACUUAAACAAGUACCUUUUUUCCCCAGAUCUCUAAUUUGAACACCCUUGACCGAAUGCCAAAGAUUAGCCAUUGUGCUUUUCAUUGCUGGAUAAUGGAUGAUACUGGCUGUAAGAAAACAACCAACCAAACUAAGAGAUUCUUCAUUAUUAAUUAAAUCUGAGUCACCUUGUGCUUGCAGGAUCUCUUUUUCUUCUUCAACAAGAGAUAAACCCGCAAAUUCUGAUUCCAUGGAUGUUGUACUCGAAGCCUCCGUUAAAGACAUCACUUCAAAUAAAUGGAGAUGAGCACCGCCAAAAGAAAACCAGAAGAAAAAACUUGCCAGAGAGGCAGACAGAGACGUGCUAGGGUAGCAGACUUUUUUAAUUAUUAAACUCAUUCAAAAACCUAGUAAAUUUAUAUCUAUAUAUAUAGUUUCAAUUAAAAUUAUUUAUACCAACAAAUGUUGGGUAUAUUGUACUUUCAAAGAGAGAUGCAAAUUUAAACAUUUAAAAAAUUAACAUUAUUAGGAGAAGAAACUACAAACCCUGAAAAAUAAUAUAAAGAAAAAUUACUACAAAUACUAAAUUAAAUAAUUAAAUAGAUAUCACACACCUAAUUUUUAAAAGGUAAACUCGAACCAAAACGAGUGUUUACCAACACAAAUGAAGCCUCGUUGAAUAAGAUUUAGACAUUUACAAAUUUAAAUAAAAUAUUAUAUAAUCAAUUAAAUUUUAACUUGAUUGGC